GACGAACGCUGGCGGCGUGCUUAACACAUGCAAGUCGAACGGAAAGGCCCUGCUUUUGUGGGGUGCUCGAGUGGCGAACGGGUGAGUAACACGUGAGUAACCUGCCCUUGACUUUGGGAUAACUUCAGGAAACUGGGGCUAAUACCGGAUAGGAGCUCCUGCUGCAUGGUGGGGGUUGGAAAGUUUCGGCGGUUGGGGAUGGACUCGCGGCUUAUCAGCUUGUUGGUGGGGUAGUGGCUUACCAAGGCUUUGACGGGUAGCCGGCCUGAGAGGGUGACCGGCCACAUUGGGACUGAGAUACGGCCCAGACUCCUACGGGAGGCAGCAGUGGGGAAUAUUGCACAAUGGGCGGAAGCCUGAUGCAGCAACGCCGCGUGCGGGUUGACGGCCUUCGGGUUGUAAACCGCUUUCGCCUGUGACGAAGCGUGAGUGACGGUAAUGGGUAAAGAAGCACCGGCUAACUUCGUG
rnacentral:rRNA from 1 species